rnacentral:rRNA from 1 species
AGAGCGAACGCUGGCGGCAGGCCUAAUACAUGCAAGUCGAGCGGCCACUUCGGUGGCAGCGGCGGACGGUGAGUAACGCGUGGGAAUGUGCCCUUUGGUACGGAGCAACUGAGGGAAACUUCAGCUAAUACCGUAUGUGCCCUUCGGGGGAAAGAUUUAUUGCCAUUUGGAGCAGCCCGCGUUGGAUUAGCUAGUUGGUAGGGUAAAGCCCACGAAGGCGACGAUCCAUAGCUGGUCUGAGAGGAUGAUCAGCCACACUGGGACUGAGACACGGCCCAGACUCCUAUGGGAGCAGCAGGUGGGAAUUUGGGCAAGUCGGGGGAAACCUGGACUCCGAGCC